rnacentral:rRNA from 1 species
UACGUAGGGUGCAAGCGUUAUCCGGAUUUACUGGGUGUAAAGGGAGCGUAGACGGCGGUGCAAGCCAGAUGUGAAAGCCCGAGGCUCAACCCCGGGACUGCAUUUGGAACUGUGCUGCUAGAGUGUCGGAGAGGCAGGCGGAAUUCCUAGUGUAGCGGUGAAAUGCGUAGAUAUUAGGAGGAACACCAGUGGCGAAGGCGGCCUGCUGGACGAUGACUGACGUUGAGGCUCGAAAGCGUGGGGAGCAAACAGG